rnacentral:rRNA from 1 species
AGUGAACGCUGGCGGUAGGCCUAACACAUGCAAGUCGAACGGCAGCACAGUAAGAGCUUGCUCUUACGGGUGGCGAGUGGCGGACGGGUGAGGAAUACAUCGGAAUCUACUUUUUCGUGGGGGAUAACGUAGGGAAACUUACGCUAAUACCGCAUACGACCUACGGGUGAAAGCAGGGGAUCUUCGGACCUUGCGCGAUUGAAUGAGCCGAUGUCGGAUUAGCUAGUUGGCGGGGUAAAGGCCCACCAAGGCGACGAUCCGUAGCUGGUCUGAGAGGAUGAUCAGCCACACUGGAACUGAGACACGGUCCAGACUCCUACGGGAGGCAGCAGUGGGGAAUAUUGGACAAUGGGCGCAAGCCUGAUCCAGCCAUACCGCGUGGGCGAAGAAGGCCUUCGGGUUGUAAAGCCCUUUUGUUGGGAAAGAAAAGCAGCAGGUUAAUACCCUGCUGUUCUGACGGUACCCAAAGAAUAAGCACCGGCUAACUUCGUG